rnacentral:tRNA from 1 species
UCCUCGAUGGUCUAGUGGUCAUGAUUUCCGCUUGUCAGCUUGACAACUGCAAGCGCGGGAGACCUGGGUUCGAUUCCCAGUCGGGGAG